GACGAACGCUGGCGGCGUGCUUAACACAUGCAAGUCGAACGAAGAGCGAUGGAAGCUUGCUUCUAUCAAUCUUAGUGGCGAACGGGUGAGUAACGCGUAAUCAACCUGCCCUUCAGAGGGGGACAACAGUUGGAAACGACUGCUAAUACCGCAUACGAUCCAAUCUCGGCAUCGGGACUGGAUGAAAGGUGGCCUCUAUUUAUAAGCUAUCACUGAAGGAGGGGAUUGCGUCUGAUUAGCUAGUUGGAGGGGUAACGGCCCACCAAGGCGAUGAUCAGUAGCCGGUCUGAGAGGAUGAACGGCCACAUUGGGACUGAGACACGGCCCAGACUCCUACGGGAGGCAGCAGUGGGGAAUCUUCCGCAAUGGACGAAAGUCUGACGGAGCAACGCCGCGUGAGUGAUGACGGCCUUCGGGUUGUAAAGCUCUGUUAAUCGGGACGAAUGGUUCUUGUGCGAAUAGUGCGAGGAUUUGACGGUACCGGAAUUGAAAGCCACGGCUAACUACGUG
rnacentral:rRNA from 1 species